GCCAGUGUGGCAUAGUGGUUUAAGUGUUGGACUAUGACUCUGAAGACCAGGACUCGAUUCCCCACAUAGCCA
rnacentral:tRNA from 1 species